GUUGAUUUUCUGGCUUCAGUUGUCCCUCCACUCACCAAUUUCUCAGUUUCAGAACAUUUGCCUCUCAGAUAUGGUGCACGCUGGUCACUGCCAACUCUGAUCUGACUGGGAGGCUUCAGUUUGGAUGUAUCCAGUUCCAUGGACGUCUGAGAUGAUACUUUUUCCAUUGUUUGAGGAUUAUUUAUUGUUCGGAAAGGUCAGGCAUUAUAGCACCAUCACUUUGUGUGUGUUCAGCAAUCGCAGAAAACCAGGAACUCCAAGAUGGUUUGGUCCUGCUGUGUCAAAUGCAGGAGGAUGAGAUCCAUCAGAUCAGUGGGAUUGCAGCCUCUGAACUAGGGAGCUCAACCAUAGCUGCAGAAUUGGGAAGCCAAUGCAGAUCCUUUACAUCUCAGAUAUUGUACACACUGGUCACUGCCACCUCUGAUCUGACUGGGAGGCUUCAGCCAGCAGCAGAUAAGACUGAUGCUGGGACUUGCUUCCAAGCAUGGAGUAGAACUCUGGGAGUCUUGUAUAAGUGUUGGGGGAAACAUUCAAGGACCUGGAGAGGACAGAAACCCACAAGAAGACCAACAGAGACAACUAACCAAGUCCCAUGUGGAUUUUCAGAGAGUGAUAUAGCAACUACAGGGCAUGCAUGAUUUUGAACUAGGCUCUCUACACAUAAGCAGCCAAUGGGAGCCUUGGUCUUCAUAUGAGACACCAGACAAGUGGAAAGUGGGAGGCUGUUUCCAACGUGAACUCUAUUGCCUGCUUUUAGAUAACUUCACCCUGUCCAGGCUGCCUUGUAUGACCUCAAGUGAUGAAAUAAGUAUAGUCAUGAUGUGACUUUAUGUGUUGGGAAAAGUUCAUCUGAGCCUCCCUUUUUCUGGAAGAGGAGAAGGGAGAAGGAGGGAAAGUGCAGAAAACUGGGAGGAGGAGAGGGUAUCCUCAUGAUGUAAAGUAAAUAAACUUAUAUAAAAUGAAAAGAAGAAGAAGAAGAAUGAAAAAAAGGCAAAGGACACUGUCAUUCGGACAAGGUGGCAGCCAACAAAAUGGAACACAUUUUUACCAACUCCAUAAAAAGAAACUCAGUAAACUCAGUUUCAGUAAAAUAGGAUAAAGGUAGUGCAAUGGUAUGGAAAUUCAAACUUGGAUAGAGAUACAAAUAAACAAGAAAGUUCAAGCACUGUCAAUGGGUGUUAACACUGAUAUAUAUAUUUUGAAAAACUGGCAGUUCCUCUUUAUGUGGAACAUAGAGAAACCUGCAUGACAACGAUCUUAUUUUUUAUUAUUUGAGAAUUCUAUAUAUUCAUAUUAUGCAUUUUCAUCUAACCAAUCCCUUCCCAUCCCAACAGUUUAUUAUCCAUACUCCUUCUUUUCUUGUAGAUUUAAUGUGCUCUUUUAAAAAACUCAUUGAGUGAUGGGAGUACUAAACUAUUUUCUGAUUAGAUUGAACUACUACUCAACAAGAUAGAACUGGUGAAGAAGAAGAAGAAGAAGAAGAAGAAGAAGAAGAAGAAGAAGAAGAAGAAGAAGAAGAAGAAGAAGAAGAAGAAGAAGAAGAAGAAGAAGAAGAACUGGUGCUGCAUCUCUACAAAACUACAGAAAACAGUGGCUUCCAGGUCCCAGGAACAAGCUCAUAGUAUUAUUCUACUAAAUUCAGCCAUUAAUAAAUUGAUCCCUAUUUUUUUAACUUUAUCCUCAUUGAUGAGUGCUUCCAAUGAUUUUCCUUUCCAGAUAAGCCUCUUUAUCAUGGAUGUUGAUUAAUAGGGAAGCUCAUAACAGAAAAUACAUGCAGAAAAUAAUAUCCCACUUUUAUGUAUAUGUUUCAAAACAAAUUUCUACUGUUAUUAUUAGGGACAAAACUCCAAAAUGUAUGAGUUUGUGUCUUAGUCAGGGAUGUAUUGCUGUGAAGUGUCAUCAUGACCAUGAGAAGAAGUAAUCCAUGAGAACUAUAUCCAAUUUUCCUUAAAGGGGGUUGGAGGACAUCCUGUGUGGGUUGAAAAAGAGUGGCAAUCUAGGAGAAACUGGUGGCCAGCCUUUCACUUCAGCUUAUUUUGGGCAAAGAGUGAUUGGAAGGCAGAUGCUGAUUUGGCUUGUGAGAAAGCAUUUGUAGUUGGAAUCCUUUUAGGGAAAGGUUGUAGAUAUUUUUGGUAUAUUUUGAAACAUGAUCAUGAAACCUUGAAGAAGAAAAUUAAGAGGAUGAAGUCUGUGAAAAAAUAUACUAUUGUAAAUCCAGAUGUUUACACCUAGACCUUAAGCUAUUU